AUCCUUGAUUAAGUUAAUCCAAUCAUUUGGUCGAAGUCAGCAGGUUCAAAAUCUAAUCCUUAUUCCACAUAUCUGAUUAAAAUCUUUAGAUCAUUGAAAGCAUGAUACUUCAAGUCCCUCCUGAGUCAGAAAUCCAAGAAGAGAAAAGGAAAA